rnacentral:tRNA from 2 species
GCGGGUGUGGCGAAAUUGGCAGACGCACCAGAUUUAGGUUCUGGCGCCGAGAGGCGUGGGGGUUCAAGUCCCUUCACCCGCAC